GUGGGGGACGAGGACCUCACCUGCAAGACAUGACUCCCAUGUGGCUCUUCCUCUUCCUGCUGUCAGCUCCCAGAUGUGUCCUGUCCCAGGUGCAGCUGCAGGAGUCGGGCCCAGGACUGGUGACGCCCUCACAGACCCUCUCCCUCACCUGCUCUGUCUCUGGAUUCUCCAUCACAACCAGUCCUUACUACUGGAGCUGGAUCCGCCAGCCCCCAGGGAAGGGGCUGGAGUGGAUCGGGUACAUAACUUAUGGUGGGAGCACUAACUACAGCCCUUCCCUCAAGAGCCGAACCUCCAUCUCCAGAGACACGUCCAAGAACCAGUUCUCCCUGCAGCUGAGGUCUGUGACCACCGAGGACACAGCCAUGUAUUACUGUGCAAGAGACACAGUGAGGGGAGCAGCUGCUGGACCCCAGCCUGAGUGUGAGGGAGAGGAGGCAGAGCCACAGGGAUCACAGUGCUUUGGAGGCUUUGAGGUUUGCGAGGACAUGGUGACUGGGGAUCCCAUGACCCAGGUCACACUGCUCCCAGAGGGCAGAGCUGGAGCCCAGAGGCCCAGCGCUGCUGAGGGCGCAGCAGACCCGCUGCAGGUCCCCGUCAGCAUGAGCUCAGCGCAGCCAGACUUUCCCAGCACGUGGACCCCUGGACGCCAUGGGCAGUGCCUGGAGAGCCCUUCUGCAAACAAUGGCCGCCAAGGACUGUUCUCAGUGCGGACCCCGACCCGCUGGUGA